ACACUCAGCCAGUGGGAGGAAAGGGAAAGAGAAAGAGAGAGCGAGGGAUCUGUGGGCCAAAGGCUGUAUUAGGAUCUAAGGCAUUCCCCAAGCAGGUUUCCCAUGGGGAGUUCUAAUUGGUGGGUUCAUCGCAAGCAUGCAUGUGGAGUUGCACAGUGACUCAGAGGUGGUCUGUGUGGUACAUCUGCAUAGUCCAUGUAGGGGGUGGAGGUCAGCAGGCAGGUGAAGUGGGUUGUAUCUAGCUCUUCCAUAGACAGGUGGUCACCAGGAGGUGGUUGCAUAAGGCAGUUAUCUGGAUUAACCACACUGAAGAACUGGGAGGAGGCAGAGAACUGGAAACUGUCAAGGGUGACUGAGGCCCGCAUCUGCCCUUCUGCCAUGUGAGAACACAGCUUUCCUCUUCUCUGGAGGACGCCAUCUUGGAAACAGACCAACUGGUCUCAUCACACAAGCAAACCUGCUGGUGUCUGGACCUUGGACUUCUCAGUUCCAGAACUAUGAGAAAUCAAUUUCUUUAUAAAUGACCCAGGCUGUGGUGUUGUGUUAUAGUGACACAAUGGACUAAGACAGGGCUCUUUCAAGUUGGCAACAUUGUCCUUUUAAUAUGCUCGUUAACAUGAUUUUUUGGUAUUUCCUUACUUUCUGGAGAAACAAUAAGUUACCACUUUCUCUUACAUUCAUUCUUCCUAACACCUCCUCUUUUUUAAAAAAAAAAUAGAAACGUUUGAAGCAUUCAUGUACAGUUGUUACCAAUGAGGAGAGGAAUGAUUAUGUACCGUGAUUUUUGUAAUAGGAAAGGUGUUAAUCUCUAAAUUAUAUCUCCUCUCAUGAAUGAAAAUUUUAGCCUCAGAAACUAUAAUUUCUAAAUGACCACAAUCCCCAAAAUCACAGGAACCAUGUCUGUUAUAUUUAUCCACACAUACCUCUGACUAGCACAACAAAGAAAUAUGUAUUGAAUGAAUGAAUGGGAAGCAAUAGAAGAAGAAAAAGUGAGAAACAGCUGACCCGAUUAUUGCCCCUAAUUGUUCCUCUAUUAUUAGUGAAGGCCUCGUGACUCAAUGUUAAAAACGUGUUCCUUUACUUCAGCGAUCCUAUUUAUUAAUAUAUUUUCUUUCUUGGAUCCUGUGUUUUGAAAGGUUUGUCCAGCAAAGUAACUGCAUUGUGCAAUGAUCUUAAGACGUUUAUCACAAGUCUAUGACUACAGACAGAUUUCCUUACAAUGUCAAUCAUCCAAAUGUCAGUACCACUGCGUACUGAAAGAAUUAAGAAUCUGCCAGAAUUUCCUUUUAAAAUAAUAUUAGAAAGAGACAACAAGAGAGUAAUUAGCACCCAUGGAUGUUGCAUGUGAAGUAACUUCUAAAUGCAUGUAGUUUUUCUCCUUUAAUUUAGGGAUUUAUAAAGAUAAUUUGAAGUGUGAAAUGGUAGAGAGAUUCAGCCAGCCCCACUAUCUUAGGCCUUACAGACGUGGAUCCUGUGUAACAUGGCACCAGACCAAGGGGGACACUUCAGCAAAGCAGAUGUAGUAGUGGAUAUAAAAUCAUGAAAAUGGGCACAUUCAGCAGCCUCAGCCUAAGAGCAUGGUGACCACUGGCUGUGACCCCCCAAGGAUGAGGGUCUGAAUAACCCUAGCAGUUUGAUCAACUUCUGGACUAUUCUCCUUUAUAUAGGAAGAACUCAGUCCUCUCUUUAUGGAACUGUGUUAUGUGGGAUUUCAUCACCUCUGCAAUGUAACCUUCAACUUAUGAUGGAUCAAGUGCUUGUAAAGAAAAGCAGAUUUAACAUGUCUCAGAUUACAAAUGCAGAACUAUAAAUGUAAAACAGCCGAGUAUGUAGGAACUUUAUGUCAUAAUUAGGAAUGGAGAGCAAAGCCUUUAUAAACCUAUUCUCAAUUAUCUACAAUUCCUUCAAAGCAGCUAUCUGGAUCCAGGCUUGGUAAAGCAUUUUUCUAGCCAAAUGAUUGUCAAUAUACACCUGCACUGUUAAAAGAUGGCGUCCCUAAAUAGCCCAUUUUCUUCUCCCUCUCCAUUUGGUACACCAGAUGUUUGGGUUUUUUAUUUGUUGAAGAGUGCAUCGAGUUCCCACAUGUCCUUUUAGAAAAAAUCAUAGCUUUUAAAAAUAAAGCUGUCUUCCUAAAUGGCAGUGGGCCACAGAUAAAGACCAACAUGUGUUGUAACUCAGAAUGUCCGUUGCUGUGGUUACAUUUUUAUGAUUUAGCUGUAAAAUACUUAAUAGAUAUGGUUCUUGAUGAUUUUUCUUUUAACUUUAAAUGACAGGUGGGUUAUUUCUGUUCUCUUAGUUUUGUUUAAAAAAGGAGGGGGGGUGGUGUAUGUGUGGAAAUUGAAAAACUUGACUUUGGUCAAUGAACUGGUCAUUGAGAAAGCUGAGAUUUGAACACCAAAAUCUGUGGUCUCCUACACCUACUUGACCCCGCUUUAAGUGAAAUCUCAACUCACUAUACAAGUUUCAACUCACUAUACUUCCCACUUCCUAUCCUCAUCCAUCUGUUACAUCUGCAUGUACAAUUAUGUUAAGCAUGCUUAUGUCACUCAAUGAACUUAUUUCCCUUUUGUCAGCUCAAGAAUUUCUUGUAUGAGAUUUUUUUGUUCAUGUUUCAACAAGUCCCCUCUUCAAAAAUUGCCGUUCCUUCCUCCAGGAGUAACAUGGAUGUUUAGGAAGUGAAGUUUAUUCCAUUUCCAUAUAGUUCCGUGAAGAGGAAAAAAAGAGAAAAAAUAAACAAAUGAAUAAAUAUUUCUAAUUAUGGAAAGCCUAGAUAAGAAACAUCUACUUAUAAGUCAAGGAAUAAAACCUGCACAUACCGACAGAGAAAUUACGAUCUCUAGAAUGUAACUAUUAUGAGUUCAUGUAUGCCCAUGCUAAACACCAAAGCUGAAGUUAACUAUUAAUAGUUUUGUCAUCAUGGAGCUGUUGUUACUAUUACACAUAUAAGCAAUUCAACUCCCAACUCUUUAGUUACUCUGACUCCAGGACCUCAAAUGCUACCCAUAGAAAAACAGCCUGGUGAAUGGCAGGAGUGACACCAUCUUGAAGUGAAACCACCACGAUGACCAAUGUUUGACUCCUGCAUACAAAGGUGUUCCCAUAGCAUUGAUAACUCCUUCUAAGGAUGCUUAUCCAAUCCCCAGUAGUCAUCAGUUUUGCAAGAAGUCUGAGGCAUGACCAACUGCUCAUAUUUUACCAAAAUAGCUUGCUAUAUUAAGGAUAUUUUCUGGAGGGUUGGUGUGGGGAUCCAUGGUCUCAUGGCUACCUGUGACAUCAGUUCUGUUCAUAAGUUCCUAUUAAAUGUCUCUUUUUGAGAAA